UGGAGAGGUGGCAGAGUGGUCGAAUGCACCGCACUCGAAAUGCGGCAUAGGUGCAAGCCUAUCGGGGGUUCGAAUCCCUCCCUCUCCGCCAG
rnacentral:tRNA from 1 species